rnacentral:rRNA from 1 species
UACGUAGGGUGCAAGCGUUAAUCGGAAUUACUGGGCGUAAAGCGUGCGCAGGCGGUUUUGUAAGUCUGUCGUGAAAUCCCCGGGCUCAACCUGGGAAUUGCGAUGGAGACUGCAAGGCUAGAAUCUGGCAGAGGGGGGUAGAAUUCCACGUGUAGCAGUGAAAUGCGUAGAGAUGUGGAGGAACACCGAUGGCGAAGGCAGCCCCCCUGGGUCAAGAUUGACGCUCAUGCACGAAAGGCGUGGGGAGCAAACGAGGAUUACGAA